ACAAAGGUUUUUAUUAAAACUACUAAACAUUCAUUAAAAUGCUUAA
rfam:Ailuropoda melanoleuca scaffold1157_67, whole genome shotgun sequence.